GCAUCUGUGAUUCAGCGGUAGAAGUCUCACCUUCUAUGCUGGAGACCUGGGUUUGAUUCCCAGCUGAUGCA
rfam:Loxodonta africana unplaced genomic scaffold scaffold_3, whole genome shotgun sequence.